GAUGAAGAACGUAGCGAAAUGCGAUAAGUAAUGCGAAUUGCAGAAUUCCAGUGAGUCAUCGAAUCUUUGAACGCACAUUGCGCCCGGUGGUAUUCCGCCGGGCACGCCUGUCCGAGCGUCAUUGCAACAAUCACGCCUCGCGUGGUGUUGGGGGCCGUCGCGUCUGCGACCCCCCCGGAACUCGUUGGCGGUGGCCUCUCGCCCCGAUCGUCGCGCAUGUUACGACGGGAAGGGAGGACGCUUGCCGAACCACCAAUUACGCUACGUUUGACCUCGGAUCAGGCGGGGAUACCCGCUGAACUUAAGCAUAUCAAUAAGCGGAGGA
rnacentral:misc_RNA from 1 species